GGAUAGCUCAGGCAGUAGAGCAUGAGACUUAAUCUCAAGAUUGUGGGUUCAAGCACCACGUUGGGCA